GAAUUUUAUAUAAAUGUGUUAAGUAGAUUAAUUUAGGUGAUAUUAAUAAAUUUAUAUUUGGUUGGGAGGAUAGUUAAAUUAAAGAAACUUUAAUAUAUUAAAGUCAUUAAUUUAUGAGAGUUUAUGAGUGAUUAAUAGCAUUAAAUAGAAUUAAUUACCUUAGGGAUAACAGCGUAAUAUCUUUGGAGAGAUCUUAUUAAUAAAGAUGAUUGU
rnacentral:rRNA from 1 species